rnacentral:lncRNA from 1 species
GGCUAUUAUAGUUUUCUUUUAUGACUUGAUAAAUAUGGCCCCUAAAUAAUUGUUUUUAUGGAGGUGUGUUGAUAUUGCCUUUUUCUCUGAUCCCCUAUGCAUUCUCGCCAUUCUUGUUUUCUGUUCCUCAAGCUUGCCAUUGUUGUUUUAUUCUCUUUAAGUUUGACAUCAUGGCUAUUGUUUUAUAGGUGUGUCUUCUUUGCCUCAUGUUUCUUCUCCUAAGAUAAUGGGUGUUAACCUAUCUUGUUGCGAGACUCCAACCUCGUCUCUAAAGGUGGUGGAGUGAUGAGAUGACACACCUCUGUUUCUCCUAUAUUGGAGUCGUCCUUAUAAGAUUAAUAAGAUUAAGUGUAUAGGGGAAAAUCUUUUAAAUCUUGUAGAGAGGGUCGAUUGCGUAGCUUGUAGCUUGUAGCUUGAGCGAGAGAAAAAAAAAAAUCUCUCAUUUUGAAGGAUAUUAGUGUUAUGUUGGGUGAUUAAGCAAUAUUUGUGGUGGUAGUGCAUGGAUUUUGAAUGUAUCGAGAUCAUAUAAUUAUGUUUUUAGAGAUUUAAGCGAUGGUUGGUUGCACAAACAUUGGAUAAAAUAUGGCUUGAUGUUUUGUAACUUGUUGGAAGGAGUGCAAUAUGUACGUAUUACUUAAUCUUGUAAGUGGUAAGGUGAUAAGUUCUAUGUUUGACUUUGUAGAGUUUGAAUACUAUUACAAAUACUACUAUAAGGAUAUUUUACAUGAAAUCUAAUGUGAAAGGCAUAUAUUCCGAUAAUUGAUU